rnacentral:ncRNA from 2 species
AAUAGAUUUUUUGUUAUAGGUGCCCAUUGAUUUGGGUGAAUAGGGAACUGGGUGAAAAUCCCGGACGGACCCACCACUGUAUGGAGGAGACCUAUGCAUAUGCCACUGGGAAACUGGGAAGGCGCAUAGUGUCGAUGAUUCUAAGUCAGGAGACCUGCCUGUAAUGUAGCAUCAUG